rnacentral:rRNA from 1 species
GACGAACGCUGGCGGCGUGCUUAACCCAUGCAAGUCGAACGGUAAGGCCCUUCGGGGUACACGAGUGGCGAACGGGUGAGUAACCCGUGGGUGAUCUGCCCUGCACUUCGGGAUAAGCCUGGUAAGCUAGGGCUAAUAGCGGAUAGGACCACGGCCUGCAUGGGUGGUGGUGGAAAGCUGUUGCGGUGUGGGAUGGGGCCGCGGACUAUCAGCUUGUUGGUGGGGUGAGGGCCUAUCAAGCGGACGACGGGUAGCCGGCCUGAGAGGGUGACCGGCCACACUGGGACUGAGAUACGGCCCAGACUCCUACGGGAGGCAGCAGUGGGGAAUAUUGCACAAUGGGCGCAAGCCUGAUGCAGCGACGCCGCGUGAGGGAUGACGGCCUUCGGGUUGUAAACCUCUUUCAGCACCGACGAAGCGCAAGUGACGGUAGGUGCAGAAGAAGGACCGGCCAACUACGUGCCAGCCGCCGCUGUAA